UACGAAGGGGGCUAGCGUUGUUCGGAAUCACUGGGCGUAAAGGGCGCGUAGGCGGCUUUAUAAGUCGGGGGUGAAAGCCUGUGGCUCAACCACAGAAUUGCCUUCGAUACUGUAGAGCUUGAGACCGGAAGAGGUUAGUGGAACUGCGAGUGUAGAGGUGAAAUUCGUAGAUAUUAGGAAGAACACCAGUGGCGAAGGCGGCUCACUGGCCCGGUACUGACGCUGAGGCGCGAAAGCGUGGGGAGCAAACAGG
rnacentral:rRNA from 1 species